ensembl:misc_RNA Y_RNA Y RNA
GGCUGGUCCGAUGGCAGUGGGUUAUCAGAACUUAUUAACAUUAGCGUCACUAAAGUUGGUAUACCACUCCCCUACUGCUAAAUUUGACUGGCUUUAA